GGUGCCUAUAUCGGCGGUGUCCACCUCUUCCCAUUCCGAACAGAGAAGUUAAGCCCGCCAGAGCCGAUGGUACUGCCGUAAAAGGUGGGAGAGUAGGUCGGUGCCAUAC
rnacentral:rRNA from 1 species